UAAGGAAUAUUGCUCAAUGGGAGAAAUCCUGAAGCAGCAACGCCGCGUGGAGGAUGAAGGGUCUAUGACUUGUAAACUCCUGUAAAGAAGGAAAAAAUUCCCAUUUGAUGGGAGAUGAUGGUACUUCUGGAGUAAGCCCCGGCUAACUACGUGACAGCAGCCGCGGUAAUACGUAGGGGGCAAGCGUUGUCCGGAUUUACUGGGUGUAAAGGGUGCUCAGGCGGAUUUGUAAGUCAGAGGUGAAAUCUUACAGCUUAACUGUGAAACUGCCUUUGAUACUGCAAGCCUAGAGUAUGGAAGAGAGUGAUGGAAUAUCUGGUGUUGCAGUGAAAUGCGUAGAUAUCAGAUAGAACACCAAUGGCGAAGGCAGUCACUUGGUCCAUUACUGACGCUAAAGCACGAAAGCGUGGGUAGCAAACA
rnacentral:rRNA from 1 species